UGUGAUCACCUCCCUGGAUCCUGCCCGGCGAGGCACGUCCGGCGCCCGUCCCGGUGCCCCCUGCGCCAGCGCCGGAGCAGCGCAGCCCUGCCCGGGGCCAGGGGGAGCGAGAGCUGAGGAGGGGGCUGAAGGCUCCGGCUGCCUGGGGGUCCAGGGCAGUUCUGGGGAGAGAGCGACAAGCUGGAGUCUCAGAUAUUGCAUCAUUCGAUUUAAUGUAUUUCUUAUGUUAGUAGUUCUCUGAAAAGGACUGAAAUAAUUUCUUUUAUGUUCCAGACUGUAUUUUGCUCAGGUCAGUCUGUUAGACAGUAAGUUUUGAUUUUAUGGGAACAGUCUGUCUUCCUUUACAGAGGAGGGGUUUAACACAUUCAUUACUUCUAUCAGCUCACAUGGGAAGCAGGGAGUUAGUAAGGACAGCUUGAAUAUAUUUACACACCAUACUUUUAAUUAUGCUUUAUUUUCCCCUUCAUUUUGGAAUUUAGCCUGCUAAGGUUUUUGCUAUGUGUUCAGCGUGUAUGUUUGAAUAUAUGUCUGUAUAUAAAGUAUAUUCAGUUUGGAAUGAACAGUUCUCAGGGGGGUAGAUUAGGAAAAAGCCUCUCCCAGUGACUGGCAGUUGCACUCAGACCUUGGGGAUUAUGGGGGAUCAAUGAGGAUUAUCUCAUUUACUUUCAUUAACCCUUGAGUUUGCUUUGCCAGUUCUCUGCCACAUGCCACUCAACUGAAUGUUAACAGUUUCUUUUAUCAGUCAACUUUGCUGACAAAGUCAAGGGCUGGUUUUUAAAGAUAUAUUUUAGUGCUCUAAAGUGGUCAGAGAUAAAGAUAGAUCUUUAAUGUUAAAUGUCAGUAAGCGUUGAUACUCUGCACUGCUGCAAAAAAGCCCUGUUUCAGAAUGUAUCCAUUUUAUCUAACUAACUCAGCUCAGUGGAAACAGAAAUGUAAAUUCUAUAGGUGUUUUCUUACUAACACCCCACAAUUUCUUUGUAGGAACUUUUGAGAUAAAAUUGAUCAGAAAAUUUCAUCCCCUCCCCUAUGGUGAGCAGUUCAACACCCGUCUCCUUAAAUUUGGUACUUCCAUGUAUUACACUUUUUAAAAACAUCCUAUUAGUGUCUGAGCUACAUGUGUAAUUCUCGCUGGUGAGAGAUACCAGCCUGAGAGCUGAGCGGGCAGAAGUUGCAGAGGAGGCGGUCCUGGGAGGACUCUGCUCUGUCCUCAGCCCUUUGCUGAGGUGGCUGGUGGGUACCACUUCGUACCAGCAAGGUGGUAGUUUUCUUUGUGUUGAUCUUCCACAGGAGGCAAAUCCUCUCUUGUAUUGCUGUUGCUAAAACCGGGUCAACUUCUCCAAACGGGGAAGGGUUUGGUGAAGGAGCCGAUUUUGCACUCACAGCCCUGUUGGCAGGAAUUGGUCCUUCACUCAGGCUCAAAGGAGGAAGAUUUAUCAACACUUUUUCCAUUCCAAAUGGUGUCUGAAUAACCUCCUGCUUCUUUUCCAUCCCUUCUCUGCCAAGGCCAAGAACAAAAUAAAGAUGAUACAUGACACGUGAAACCUUCCGGUAUCUUGGAAGAAAUGCGUUUCUCUCCUGAUGAUGGUGCAGCGCAGGUGUUUAUGUGACUGCAUAUUACCUGCGUAAUUCUAAUAACGAAACAUAGAGAGAAAGCCACUUAAUCCCACUUUUGCUCCCAUGUGACUUGUCUGGGGGAAUGUCCAGUUUUCAAAUAUGCGGAACUAAAUGCAGAAUGGAUAUGCAUGUCCCUGGAGGCCGAGCUCAGCCCGGAAUGCCCUGGAUUAAAGUCUGGAUGCAAUGUUCCUUGUUCAUGCUUUGCACGACUGUCUACUGUGCUUCAGACCCUGUGUUACCCACUUGCUGAUCGUGAGUGAGAGACGCGGCCGGACGCGUCUGCGCGGGCGCUGCACCGCGCCGUGCGCCCCGGGCGCCACUCCACUCGGGCUGUGGCACUCGAGGGUCCGGUUAUGGGCUCCUUUCCUGUUGUUUUAGCAAGCACUAUACAACAAUUUAUACAUCAGUGAGCGGAAGCUCAAGGUUAGAUUUUGUUGUUGAAAUUUACAGAGUUCUAAAGUGCUCCUAUGAAGUACGACCAACAUGUCAGUAAUACUAAGGGAAAUGUGUAUUGAAAAUGAUGUUAAUAAGCUAUUUGAUAAAACUAAAGAUUAUACUGACUAAUCUGAAAUGGUAAGGAAUAUGAACAGUAAUUUUUUAAAAACAAUCUUAUCAACUAACUUUCUAAGAAGGUCUUUUACAGAACCUCCUUCUAUGUGCUCAAGAUACGACUGGACUCCCAAGAACGAAUUAUGAAAAGCAAUUCUUAAUGUCAUGGAAGAUACUGAAGCCAACGAGAUAGAUGUCUUUACUUGAAGUUAAACAACCCUUGUCUGACAUAAGCAAGAGGAGUGAGUGCUCGCCGCCAGGCUCACAGCUCUCUGACCCGCAGGCCGUGCACCUUCGAGAGACGGAGACAAUAUCUGCGAACUGCCCAUGUCUCCUCUGCUGAGGCGGCUCCCGAGGAAGCAUGCCUUGCUAGGGACAUGACGUUUUCAUCAUGGGAUUGUCUCUUUGGGACUGGAAUGAAUUCUGAAAAGGCAUUUUGCUUGCUAAGGUCAGGGAGCAUCCAGCACCUGGAAACUGCAUGUGGUGCUUACAGACACAGGCUAAAUUCACCUGACCUGACGGAAAAUUCUCCCUGUGAUUUUUUGCCUCUGCCCAGUCCCAUGCUGGGUUGUUUGCGAUAACAGCACACAGAGCCAGUGCGUGAAGAUGUACCCAAUACAGCUUGUGGAAAUACUUCUCCAAAGUACCGAUGUAGAGAGCAGCCUAUUUGUCCCUCGUGCACUGAAGCCUGAGUUUCAGUGACGGUUUUAGGUGCCUAAUGUCAGAGUAGUUUGGGGUAAAAAAGCCAUACAUGGGCUCCUAGCCCAGUUAGGAGGUGGGAAGAGAAGAAAGUCUGCAGUUCCUGGCCCUGAGAGAGAACGUGCACGUGGAGCUCCGCGCUCCUCCUCCUCGCUCCCUGCACCGUCACACUGGAGCGGCUGGUGGCGUUUGGCUCCGGCGACAGUUCAGGCGAGCACUUGUGCUCUCCUGGGAACGCCGGUGGCGGACGGAGGCCCACCCAGCGAGCUGGGCUUAGGGGCCCACGCACAGGAGACUUUCCCGACGUGGAAAAAGGUUCCUCCAACACACGCCUGGUAUUCCUCAAAAUCCCUGCCACACCUCAUUGCCUGUCCAUAAAAUGGCUACGUGUAACCGAGGAGGGAUCGCACGGUGUCCUCUGGCCUACACAAACAGCUGCAGCCCUGGCGCUCCCCAAGAAGACGCUGGUGCACAGGUGGGGUGUCCCGUACUGCUAACGGAUCGAGCAGCAGAUCCUCGCUAGAACUCCCACCCGCUCGCCGUGGCCGUCCCGUCUCUUCGGCAAACCCCGGGGGCUGUGCCGGUCCUGCUCAGCGCCUCCGGCGGCCCUUCGGCCUCGCUCGUUGAACCUCCAGCCAAAACAUGUGCGGUUGCAGACUCACCAUGGCUGCCUCUUUUAUUAGCUGUCUCUACAUGAGCUGGAAGUUUUUUAAUAUAUUAUCUGGACUGAAGUCCAACAAAAGUGCGUGUUUCUAUGCUGGCUGCAUUUCAGUUCCUAAUCCUCGCUGUUCAGAAAGCUAGGACUGUUUUUUUUUCCCCUCUUAAUUUUUUAUUUUCUUUAUCAGUGUUUCCUUUGGGUCUGCAUUGAGCUGCUUCAGUGACAUUCAGUCAAGAUUAAAUAUUUUACACUUAACAUAAUUUCUGCUACAUUUUUUCCCAUUCAUCCUAAGCAGAAGUGUAAUUUGCAGAGGAAUACAUCCUCAAAUUGUACUUCAGCAACAGCCUAACUGGACUUAGAAAUGGGUCCAUUCUGAAAUGGAAAUGACUUUGAGCUCACAAAUGGAAAAACCCAACAGCUUCAUCAGAGAGCAGGUACUAAGACUUGACACAUUACCAAAUGUGUAAAAAAAAUCACUGAGGACUGGGAGUUCUGGGGGCAUUGCAUUGGCACUUGAAAUUGGGUAACAGGAUGUUUGUUUUUCACUCGCCGCCUCACUGGUAAUUGUUGGUUUUAUACCACAAAUUUGACUGUAUGGAGCACACCGAAUUUGACCUCCCCUUCCCUUACCUCCAACCACUUGCACAUGCUGUUCCAGUGUGUUGGUGUUUGGGACUGAUGUGGAGAGAGACCACAGGGAGUGUUUCACAUUGUAGGCAAGGGAGGUGAUCUUAAUUCGUUCUGACGUGCUUGUGCUUUCUACGUGUGUCUGCAAUGUCAUCAAGAGCUUCUGAGGGGAACUGCCGACCUUGCAGCCUGUCGUCUUCAAUGGAGAGAAUAACAAGUAAAAUCACCUGAUUUGCUGUGAACAUGAAGGGGCAAAUUAAAAAUGCCUAUGUCAUCACA